rnacentral:rRNA from 1 species
AGCUUGCUAUGAGCUGUUUUAGCGGCGGACGGGUGAGUAACGCGUGAGCAACCUGCCCUCCACAGGGGGAUAACGCACCGAAAGGUGCACUAAUACCGCAUAAGACCACGUUUCUGACAUGGGAAUGAGGUCAAAGGAGCAAUCCGGUGGAAGAUGGGCUCGCGUCUGAUUAGCUAGUUGGUGAGGUAACGGCCCACCAAGCCGACGAUCGGUAGCCGACCUGAGAGGGUGAUCGGCCACAUUGGGACUGAGACACGGCCCAAACUCC